UUCCAGACUCCUACGGGAGGCAGCAGUGGGGAAUAUUGCACAAUGGGGGGAACCCUGAUGCAGCGACGCCGCGUGGGUGAAGAAGUCAUUCGUGACGUAAAGCCCUAUCAGCAGGGAAGAAAAUGACGGUACCUGACUAAGAAGCCCCGGCUAACUACGUGCCAGCAGCCGCGGUAAUACGUAGGGGGCAAGCGUUAUCCGGAUUUACUGGGUGUAAAGGGAGCGUAGACGGCAAUGCAAGCCAGAUGUGAAAGCCCGGGGCUCAACCCCGGGACUGCAUUUGGAACUGUGUAGCUGGAGUGUCGGAGAGGCAGGCGGAAUUCCUAGUGUAGCGGUGAAAUGCGUAGAUAUUAGGAGGAACACCAGUGGCGAAGGCGGCCUGCUGGACGAUGACUGACGUUGAGGCUCGAAAGCGUGGGGAGCAAACAGGAUUAGAUACCCGUGUA
rnacentral:rRNA from 1 species